rnacentral:rRNA from 1 species
CGACCGGCGCACGGGUGAGUAACACGUAUGCAACCUGGCCGUCACAGGUGGAUAACCGGAAGAAAUUCCGACUAAUACAGCAUAACACUCCUGAGGGACAUCCCUUGGGAGUCAAAGGAGGCAACUCCGGUGACGGAUGGGCAUGCGGCGCAUUAGGUAGUUGGUAGGGUAACGGCCUACCAAGCCGACGAUGCGGUAGGGGUUCUGAGAGGAACGGUCCCCACAUUGGAACUGAGACACGGUCCAAACUCCUACGGAAGGCAGCAG